rnacentral:lncRNA from 10 species
AUGCGAAUAUGCCCCCAUGAAUAACGCAAACUUGAAAAGUAAAACUGGUGGCAUUCCUGACUGAAUACCCUUCACUCACAGGAGGCAGUGUGGAACAGUGGGAAUGAGGAGUGCUAUGGGACUUUGUAUAUCUGGUCUGGAAGCCUGUUUCUGGUACGUACAGCUAGAGUUCUGUAAGAUGUAACCUUUGGAAGAAACUUGAUGUAAGUUACAUGGGACUUCUCUGUACUAUCUUCCCAACUUCUAAUGAAUCUGUAAUUAUUUCAAAACUAAAAAGGUAAAAGUAGUAUUUAUUGCAAAGAGCCAGUAUUUUAAUUUAUUGUGAAUGAAUACUAUGGAAAAAUAUGAUGAAAAUAAAUUACUAGAAAACUAAAAUUAAACAAAGAUACAUAAACUGCAAAACCUUUUUGUAGAAUCAGGAAUAUCUCUCCAUUUUUAUACAUAUAAUCAGAACAAAUAUGGUAUAUGAAGAAAAUAAUUUCCAAAAGACUAUAUAUUUUUAUUAAGAGUAUACACAUAGCCAUUAAUAUUGAGAAUUGCUAAUAUACUAUUUGUCUUUCUACAAUCUCAGCUAAACAAAAUGUAUAAGUGAAAUGUGAUUUCAUUCAAUGAAAACUUAUAUGCACACUUUGAGAAUACUUUGUAUAAACACAUUUAAAGAUUUUGAUAUGAAUAAAUGCAAACAGUUCAUUUCUUCCGUUAACAUGUCUAGGCUACAUUUUAUUCACAACGUUCAUUUACUCAUAAUUAUCUGCACUAUUUCUAGGUUCCUGUUUUAGUGACACUCAUUGUGCCCAAAACAAUCUGUGGAGCUGUAUUGUUAGAAACAGAGCAAGAGCCUUUAAAGUAAUUUCAUCUAGCUCACCAUGUAUGUUUUUAACUGAUAUCCAAAAAUGAAGUAAGUGAUGAUGUGCUUUCAAAACACAACUUCAGUGAUUCCACCAGUAGCUAGUUCUAUAAAUUUAUCCUUAUUAUUAAAUUUGAAUUAUCUUUCAAUGAGAAUGAUUUUCAGAUCCAUGCAUUUCUUAUGUGUGACACAUUUUUGGUAAAAAAAAUAAAAUUCCAAACCCUUGAUUAAAUGUUUGGUGAUAACCUUUUGCAGGUGUUCAAUAACAACAUUAACACCUACCUCACUGGUAAUUGUUAUUAGCUUGCCAUAAAACCAGAUUCCAUAAAUUCUCAAAGUUUCAUUUUCUGUCAUUGAAAAACUUGUUUUAUUUCUACAAUGCCUAAAAAUAUUAAUAUCAUUAAAUACAUACUAUAUUCCAUAUAUAAACUGUAAAACUAGAUUCCAUAAAUUCUCAAAGUUUCAUUUUCUGUCAUUGAAAAACUUGUUCUAUUUCUACAAUACCUAAAAAUAUUAAUAUCAUUAAAUACAUAAAAAAUAUCAGAUAAACAAGUAACCCUGGCUAUCACUGAACAGCUUUAAAUUGGUAGACCAAACUGGUUUCUUAAGAAGUGAAACAUUAAAAGUUUAUUCAGUAAUUGAAGUGCUUUCCACAGAACUAUUGCUCUCCAUGAACUGCAUGGCUCUUUAUGAAAUAAUUUGAGUUCGUAAUCAGCUUCCAUAUUAUUACUUGAUAUGUAAAAUAAUCUUGAAUUUAAUGUAUUGACAUUUACUUAACUCACAAAAUUUUACCAUGCCAUCAGUGACUUUUUAAAGCUGACAUUUAAUGCCAUGCAAGAUGUUUUUGAUAAAGAAAACUGUGUUGAUUUGCAUUUUAACAAAAGCACCAUAUCUGGGUAACCAUUCAAGAAUGUUUUCUGUAAUAGAUAUUAUGCCACAGAAACAUGCAUGUGAAACGUAAUCUCUAAACUACACCAGUUGACAGUUCAUAUCAUAGGGUUCAGAUCUAGUCAGUUUACAUGAGCGAUGAAGAAAAAAGUUCCAUAAUAUCAAUAUAAUGUUGAAAAUGGACUACACUAAAAGAGUUGCCAUGUUAGCAGUAUCAGUGCAUUAGUCUAAUCACAAUGAAAAACACUUUACUAGUUUUACUUGUUCAGUGAGUUGGUCUUCUAGAUCAUCACUCAGCUCCUGAGUAUACAGUGUUACUGCAAAGUGGUAUUUGAUUGACUUUGUAAUACAGAUUCACAUUGCAUUUCCAAACAAGUAUCUUUGAUACCAUACUUCACUGUCUCAGCAAUUGUAUACAUUUUCUUUAGUUAGCAACCCAAAGUGCUGUUUUACAAUAAGACACAUAGCAUCAAUAUUCAUAUGUGAAAUGUUGAGCAUCUGCUUCUGUAGGCUUUUCAAUUAAAUACUCUUAUACAGAGAAUGUGGUUUUGAACACUUUUAUUUAUAUCUUUUAUGUAAAUACCACAUAGGUGUUCAUUGUUUCAUCCCUUCACUAUGCAAUGCAACUCCACAAAUGAGGCACCAUAGUUUUAGCAUAGUAUCAUCAAUUAUGGUUAGAAAACUGAUCUCAAUGUACUAGGAUACGUACUUCUAAGUAAAACAAGUAUGAACUCUUUUUGGUCUUUAGCUUUUCCCUACUGUUUUUCUUCACCAUUAUUUAACCUAAAAUGUCUGUAGCUGAGAAUCUAUGCCUUCUCGUAACAAGCCCAGAGAAACUUAUUUCUCUCCGUGUUAAUUGGCAUUAAACUUAAAUAAUGUAAAUUGUAUUUUCUUAGUAUAACUAAUAAUGUUACAUUAUAAUUUGAAAAACAGGCAUCAUUAAAAAGUAAAGUGCACCUAGAAAUUUUUUUAAGCAUACAAAGGCUUACAUUUUCUCAAAAUUUGACACACACUUGGGUUAUAGUGCACAAACUAACCUUAAAGUGUCAUUUGUUGCUAUGUGAUUCUGCUACAUAUGACUAGCAUACAGCUUAGAUCAUAUGUGAUCCACAACAAUUAACUGUACUAUACCCUGGUCAGAAAUAAUCCCAUUGAUCAAAAACCUUUAUGGCCUGGCAAUGUGAAAUUGCUGCAGAUAUUUUGAAAUGCUUACUCUGAAUGCUUAUAUUUAUCUUGCCUUAGAGCUCUCCACCAAUGCCAGUGCAGGAGAUCAUGCUCUGAGCAUCCAAGGUCUAGAGGGCGGAGCAAACAUUUAAAAAAUGCUGCAAACAUGUCUAGCUACAUAUUAUGAUAUCAGUAUAAAGGAAACAUACAGGGUGAUGGGAGCAAAUAUUAUAGGGAUCCUGUUUACAUUAAAGGGUCAGGAAAAGUCCUAAGGAAAGAUGAAUGGGUGAGGGCAGCCUUCUAGGCAGAAAAUGAGGAGACAUCAAAAUGCAUGUGCUCUAGGAAGGGAAAGAAGCCUAGAGUUGCUCUAGGUUGUGAGACAGAGGAAAGGCCCAGGAAAUGAACAAGAAGAAAAAGAAGAGCCCAGGCACUGUGUACCAUAAUAAUGAGGCUAGAUUUUUCCUAAAGGUUGAGAAAUGACAUUAAACAAAACAUAGCAGGUUGUGGUUGUGAGGGAAGAUAAUCAGAUUUGACCCACGUGGGACUGAUUGACGAGAACUCUGUUAGAAGGAGCCUGGGGCCCAGUGUUCCACUGAUUGUAGAGCGUAGUGGGUGGGAAAGAGACCAAACAGGAAGCCCUGUUUUUGACUUUUAUUUUAAGUUCAGGGGUAUACGUGCAGGUGUGUUACAUAGGUAAACUUGUGUCAUGGGGAUUGUUUUACCAACUAUUUCAUCACCCAGAUAUUAAGCCUAGUACCCAUUAGUAAUUUUUCCUGAUCUUCUCCCUCAUCCCACCCUCUACCUUGAAGUAGGCCCCUCAGUGUGUGUAGCUCCCCUGUGUGGGUCCAUGUGUUCUCAUCAUUUAGCUCCCACUUAUAAGGUAACAUGUGGUAUCUGGUUUUCUCUUUCUGCAUUAGUUUGCUAAGGAUAAUGACCUCCAGCUCCAUCCAUGUCCCUGCGAAGGAAAUGAUCUUUUUCUGCUUUAUGGCUUUAUAGUAUUCCAUGGUGUAUAUGUACCACAUUUUCUUUGUCCAGUCUAUCAUUGAUGGACAUCUAGGUUGAUUCCAUGUCUUUGUUAUUAUUAAUAGUGCUGCAAUGAACAUACACAUCCAUGUGUCUUUAUAAUAGAACAACUUACAGUCCUUUGGGUAUAUACCCAGUCAUAAGAUUGUUGAGUCUAACGGUAGUUCUGUCUUUAGGUCUUUCAAGAAUCACUGCACUGUCUUCCACAAUGUGUGAAUUUAUACUUCCAGCAACAGUGUAUAAGCAAACGUUCCUUUUUUAUUCCACACCCUUGCUAGCAUCUGUUUUUUUGUUUGUUUGUUUCUGAGACCGAGUGUUGCUCUGUCACUCAGGCUGGAGUGCAGUGGCGUGGUCUUGGCUCACUGCAGCCUCUGCCUCCUGGGUUUCAGCAAUUCUCCUGCCUCAGCCUCCCAAGUAGCUGGGAUUACAGGUGCAUGCCACCACGCCCAGCUAAUUUUUGUAUUUUUAGUAGAGACAGGGUUUCACCAUGUUGGCCAGGCUGGUCUCGAAUUCCUGACCUCAGGUGAUCCACCCGCCUUGGUCUACCCAAAUGCUAGGAUUAUAGGCAUGAGCCACCGCGCUCCGCCUUGACUUUUUAAUAAUAGCCAUCUGACUGGUGUGAAAAGGUAUCUCAUUGUAGUUCUGAUUUGCAUUUCUCUAAUGAUCAGUGAUGUUGAGAUUUCUUUUUCAUGUGAUUGUUGGUUGCAUGUAUACCUUCUUUGGUUCUUUUGGUUUUAUAUGAAUUUUGAAAUAAAUUUUGGACAAUUUGUUUAUACUGUGUGUGUGUCCAGUUGUGAUUGGAAUAUAUUGUAGAAACUCAAGUAAAUAUCUUCUAAUGACUCAAUGAAUUGAUUUAUUUGGGAUGCUUUAUAAAAAGUAUAACUUUUUCCUAAUGCAGAAUGUCCUAGUAGAAAUAAAAAAAUACAGUAUAUCAAUAAUUCCUAGCAUUCCCAAGGAAGGAAACAAGUAAUCGUAUUAAGUAAAAUGAUAAAAUAAUACAAGUCUUAAUGUUGAUGCCCAACAUCAAGCCAUUUUUAAGAAUCACAAGCAGUGCAGCAGUAUUAUUGCUGAUGCUUUAAAGCUGAGCCAUAUUUUCUUAGAUAUUUAUAGGAUGGCUUUGUAGGUAAAAUACAGGAGUAAAUACCUGUGCUAGGUUGUUUUAUCGUGCAGUUAUUCAUUCUUCCUUUCCUGUAAGAAAAUUAUACAUUGUUGCUCAUUGACAUCAGGCUUAAGGGGCCCCUUAUGGACAGAAUAUAUAUUCUCUGCUCCAUUGAUGUUUGACCUGACUAUGUGAUGUGCUUUAGUCAAUGGAAUAAAUGUAGGCACGAUGUAUACUGUUUUUGAGAAGAAACUUUAAAAGGUACUAAUGAAAUUUCUUUGCCUGUUUGUUUCUGCCUUCUGUAUGGGUCCUGGAAUAAAAAUAUAUGGAUGAGGAUUGCAGCUGACUUCAGCCUACAUGCAGUUUGAAUAUGAAAAAACUGUUAUAGAAGAUGUCCGAGCAUAUGGAAAAGAACCUUGAACAUGGAACAAGGAGACACGGGUUCAGCCUCUGGG